AGUUCAGCCUGGCCUUGAACUCUGGAACUCACAGUGAUCCUCCUGCCUCAGCCUCCUGAGUGCUGGGAUUACAGGUGUGCACCACCACACCUAGCUCCGAAUCCUAUUUUUAAAGAGCACUAAUUUAUAGUUAAAGAAGGAAGGUGAAAACUUUCAACUCUUAUGAUUUGUUCCUGGAGCACAGUUUCAAGAUAAGACAUAUCCUGAAAGUGACAGCAGUGCUCACAGGUCACAGGACUGGAAGUCUCCCCAAGCCCCCUGCAAGCCUGUAACCUGACCAUGCUGUCCAGGCCAGGCAGCCACCUGUCCAAGGAGCCCAAAGCACGGCAGGCAGAGAAUGACACAUUGGCGGAAGUGGACGUACACAAAAAGUGGAACCACAUAGUCACAUGUCAACAGAGGCCAGAACUUGCCUGUUAUGAUCUACACAGUGCCUUCAGAAUUCCACCCCUCUAGUGGUCUGCACCACAGACUCCACACAAAUAAUUUGCCAGUGAAGUGCUUAUAUGUGGAUGGAUCGAAGUUUUUCCUUCAAUUGCCUGAUGAAGUCAAAAUGCUGGAGUAUAAAGAAGAUUGCAUUUCAAAAGUGAAAACCGUGGACCUGUGCUUGGAGAGGAAAGAGACAUUUUAUGUUGGUUUGAUGUUGGAUAUGUAAUGGCAAGAGUGCUAAGGUGAAUCCUUCCUCAGAGUGCUCAGACGUCUGGCGGCCCAGCCACUGUCUUUGUUCUUUGGUCCUUUGUGUCUGGAAUCUCCGAACACCAAGAAACAGGGCUCUGCAUCUCCACAGCUGCUGGCACGCAGAGAAGACUGGGUAGUGUAAACUAACUGUGUCCACCAGCACCUGUGUAAACAUUGUUCAGGCCUGGACAGGGAUGAUGGGAAGGCAGCACAUUCAUAGAUGGACACAAACCCUGGUGAUCAAAGGGCAAGUCACAUGACCCAGCCUUAACUGUAUUUCCCAUUAAAAAUGCAAAUUAGGGCUGAGCAUGUAGCUCCACAGUAGAGCGCUUGCCUGGUAUGUGUGAGGCCCUGGGUCCAAUUGCCACUACCUCAAAAAUAGAACAAAAUAUAAUGUAAACUGUACACAGCUGCAGAUGGUUUCUCUAUAAAACUGAGUAGAGCAGAAAAGUCAAUUUUAGAAACUGCUUGAACUCAUGAUUUCUAAAAUCAGUGAAGACCAGGUAUAAGUCCUGAAGGAAAACCUUUUCUGUGUUCAAAAGAAAAUUAUUAGCCAAACAUCCUUGAAACCAGCAACUAUUUUCUAAGCUUUGUCUGCUGGUGGCGCGAUUCUGAAAUUUCAGCCCCUUCCACCACCUCUGCUUGUUACGUGUGUCCCC